UUCAAUUCGACGCAACGCGAAGAACCUUACCCAGGCUCGAACGGCAUUGGACAUCCGGCGAAAGCCGGCUCCCGCAAGGGCCGAUGUCGAGGUGCUGCAUGGCUGUCGUCAGCUCGUGUCGUGAGAUGUUGGGUUAAGUCCCGCAACGAGCGCAACCCUUGUCCGCUGUUGCCAUCAGGUUAAGCUGGGCACUCUGCGGAGACUGCCGGUGAUAAACCGGAGGAAGGUGGGGAUGACGUCAAGUCAGCAUGGCCUUUAUGUCUGGGGCUACACACGUGCUACAAUGGCAGAUACAAACCGUCGCGAGACCGCAAGGUGGAGCUAAUCGGAGAAAGUCUGUCUCAGUUCGGAUUGCAGGCUGCAACUCGCCUGCAUGAAGUUGGAAUCGCUAGUAAUCGCGGAUCAGCAUGCCG
rnacentral:rRNA from 1 species